rnacentral:rRNA from 1 species
CAUUCACGGAGAGUUUGAUCCUGGCUCAGGACGAACGCUGGCGGCGUGCUUAACACAUGCAAGUCGAACGAUGAAGCCCUUCGGGGUGGAUUAGUGGCGAACGGGUGAGUAACACGUGGGCAAUCUGCCCUGCACUCUGGGACAAGCCCUGGAAACGGGGUCUAAUACCGGAUACGACCUGCCGAGGCAUCUCGGCGGGUGGAAAGCUCCGGCGGUGCAGGAUGAGCCCGCGGCCUAUCAGCUUGUUGGUGGGGUAAUGGCCUACCAAGGCGACGACGGGUAGCCGGCCUGAGAGGGCGACCGGCCACACUGGGACUGAGACACGGCCCAGACUCCUACGGGAGGCAGCAGUGGGGAAUAUUGCACAAUGGGCGAAAGCCUGAUGCAGCGACGCCGCGUGAGGGAUGACGGCCUUCGGGUUGUAAACCUCUUUCAGCAGGGAAGAAGCGAAAGUGACGGUACCUGCAGAAGAAGCGCCGGCUAACUACGUGCCAGCAGCCGCGGUAAUACGU